rnacentral:rRNA from 1 species
AGAGUUUGAUCCUGGCUCAGGAUGAACGCUAGCGACAGGCUUAACACAUGCAAGUCGAGGGGCAGCGGGGGAGCUGGCUUGCCAGUUCCUGCCGGCGACCGGCGCACGGGUGAGUAACACGUAUGCAACCUGCCCGCCGCAGGGGUAUAACCGGGGGAAACCCCGACUAAUCCCGCAUGACACCCGGGGGAGGCAUCUCCCCCGGGUCAAAGGAGCGAUCCGGCGGCGGAUGGGCAUGCGUCGCAUUAGCUAGUCGGCGGGGUAACGGCCCACCGAGGCGACGAUGCGUAGGGGUUCUGAGAGGAAGGCCCCCCACACUGGUACUGAGACACGGACCAGACUCCUACGGGAGGCAGCAGUGAGGAAUAUUGGUCAAUGGGCGGAAGCCUGAACCAGCCAAGUCGCGUGAGGGAAGAAGGCCCUGCGGGUCGCAGACCUCUUUGGACGGGGAGCAAGGCCGCGGACGUGUCCGCGGAAGGAGAGUACCCGUAGAACAAGCAUCGGCUAACUCCGUGCCAGCAGCCGCGGUAAUACGGAGGAUGCGAGCGUUAUCCGGAUUUAUUGGGUUUAAAGGGUGCGCAGGCGGCACGGCAAGCCGGCGGUCAAAUCGCGGGGCUCAACCCCGCCCAGCCGUCGGAACUGCCGGGCUAGAGUGGGCGAGAAGUGCGCGGAAUGCGUGGUGUAGCGGUGAAAUGCAUAGAUAUCACGCAGAACUCCGAUUGCGAAGGCAGCGCACCGGCGCCCUACUGACGCUCAGGCACGAAAGCGUGGGUAUCGAACAGGAUUAGAUACCCUGGUAGUCCACGCAGUAAACGAUGAAUACUAACUGUUUGCGAUACAAUGUAAGCGGUACAGCGAAAGCGUUAAGUAUUCCACCUGGGGAGUACGCCGGCAACGGUGAAACUCAAAGGAAUUGAC